GGUUGAUCCUGCCAGUAGUCAUAUGCUUGUCUCAAAGAUUAAGCCAUGCAUGUCUAAGUAUAAACAUCUUUAUACAGUGAAACUGCGUACAGCUCAUUAUAUCAGUAAUGAUUUAUUUGAUGGUACCUUACUACAUGGAUAACCGUAGUAAUUCUAGAGCUAAUACAUGCGUACAGUCCCGACUUUCGCGGAAGGGAUGUAUUUAUUAGAUAAAAAAUCAAUGCGGUUUCGGCCGGUCAUUUGGUGAUUCAUAAUAACUACUCGAAUCGCAUGGCUUUACGCUGGCGAUAGUU
rnacentral:rRNA from 1 species